UUGCAUGUAUGUGCCGUGUGGAACAGGCGCUUCAUGAGGCUUUGAUGAGGCAGGAAGAACUUCUUGCUUACAUAGACAGUCAAGAGGAAGCCAGACUUCGGAAAAAGAAGUUUGCUGGUGAUAAUGCCUUUUCCCAUGGAGAGCCGCUAUAAAUCCCACUUAGUGUUCUGCCUUCAUUUCUAUUUAUACAAUUCUCUCAAAAUUGAAUACAAUCUUCUUUUUUAAGUUAAUUAAAUAUAAUCUUGUUUUGGAUUUCCAUGUAA